CAGUAGCCACGGUAAUACGAAGGGUGCAAGCGUUACUCGGAAUUACUGGGCGUAAAGCGUGCGUAGGUGGUUUGUUUAGUCUGCUGUGAAAUCCCCGGGCUCAACCUGGGAAUGGCAGUGGAUACUGGCAAGCUAGAGUGUGUCAGAGGAUGGUGGAAUUCCCGGUGUAGCGGUGAAAUGCGUAGAGAUCGGGAGGAACAUCAGUGGCGAAGGCAGCCAUCUGGGACAACACUGACGCUGAGGCACGAAAGCGUGGGGAGCAAACAGGAUUAGAUACCCCUGUAGUCCCUGUCUCUUAUAA
rnacentral:rRNA from 1 species